AUGGUUGAAGAACCACUCAAAAUCUAUCACACUCCUGAAGCUUUUUACUUAGAUCAUCUUCGAUCCCUAUGUGCUUGUGCUGAAACCCCAACUAGCUUAGUUAAGGGCAAAUCUUUAGAUGAGCAUGCUUGUUAUGUGCGACACCUCUUAUCUCAAAAAGGGAAACUUUUAAUGGAUCAAAUUCAUUGUUUGCAAUGCUAUGCUUGGAAUUCAUGUGAAAUAUAUGAUUUUACUUGUUUUUCUGAAGAUCCUAAGAAACACCUUCCCUACCAAUGUGAGUUUAGUGAUAAUGGAAUUGUAUCUUUGUAUGCUAAGCGAGUUUAUAAUUACUAUAAUGUUCAAAAAAUUGAAGAAUUUGCUGCUUUUAAGGGUGCUUAUGAAAUUGCUUCAUUGAUUGCAAGGUAUGAUGCUGCUCUUCACAAAUAUGAAACUUUUGCCAUACUUAAAUAUUGUUAUGGUAAUUAUGCUUCUAAUGCCUAUGUUAAACCAAAUAUUGAGUACUCCUCCACUGUCCAAGAAGAGACUAAUAUCUUGCAGGAGUCUAUGGAAGAAGAAAUUGAUGAAACUGUGAGCUCAUUGGAUGAAAAAGAUGAUGAGGAGAGAGAAGAACAAAAGGUGGAAGAUCGGAUUAGCUACCCGUUCCCACCUUGUAAUGAGAGUAACUCUCCAUCUCAUACAUUAUUUAAUGUCCCUUCGUUCUUACCGAAGGAUGAAUGCCAUGAUAAUUGCUAUGAUCCCGUUGAUUCGUUCGAAAUAUCCCUUUUUGAUGAACUUGAUGCUUGCUAUUCUUGUGGCCAAGAUGCCCAUAUGAAUUAUGCUUAUGGAGAUGAACUUGCUAUAGUUCCUUAUAUUAAACAUGAAAUUGUUGCUAUUGCACCCACGCAUGAUAGUCCUAUUAUCUUUUUGAAUUCUCCCGACUACACUAUAUCGGAGAAGUUUGUCCUUAUUAAGGAUUAUAUUGAUGGGUUGCGUUUCACUACUACAUAUGAUGAUUUUGAUAGAGAUAAUAUGCAUGUUCUUGCUGCUCCUACUUGCAAUUAUUAUGAGAGAGGAACUACAUCUCCGCCUCUCCAUGUUUCCAAUAUGAUAAAAUUGCAAGAAAUUGUUUAUAUUAUGCAUUGGGCUUUACUAUGUGUGCAUGAAUUGUUCCUUUAUGACAUGCCGAUGCAUAUGAAGAGAAUUAGACUUCGUUGUUGCAUGAUAUAUGUUACUUUGUGCUCACUACUAAAUCACAAAUCAUUGUUAAAUAAAAUUGGCUUUGAUAUACCUUGGGAUCCGGGUGGAUUCACUACUUGA
rnacentral:rRNA from 1 species